CAGAGAACUACUAGCAAUCGCUUAAAACUCAAAGGACUUGGCGGUGCUUUAAACCCCCUAGAGGAGCCUGUUCUAUAACCGAUAAACCCCGAUAAACCUCACCACCCCUUGCUAAUCCAGUCUAUAUACCGCCAUCUUCAGCGAACCCUUAAAAGGAAAAAAAGUAAGCAUAAUUAUCUCACAUAAAAAAGUUAGGUCAAGGUGUAACCUAUGGGAUGGGAAGAAAUGGGCUACAUUUUCUACUCAAGAAUAGUCUACGAAAAUUUUUAUGAAACUAAAAACUAAAGGUGGAUUUAGUAGUAAACUAAGAAUAGAGAGCUUAGUUGAAUAGGGCAAUGAAGCACGCACACACCGCCCGUCACCCUCCUGCAGUCAA
rnacentral:rRNA from 1 species